rnacentral:tRNA from 1 species
GAAAUGGUGGUCCAGUGGUAGAAUUCUUGCCUCCCAUGCGGGAGACCGGGGUUCAAUUCCCAGCCAGUGCA